GGGGUUACUGAUGAAAGAUACAUCC
rnacentral:misc_RNA from 1 species